GCCCUCUCCCAGGCCUGGCCAAGCCGACCCCGCCCCCGACCACGACCAUUCCCCUUGUUGGCCCAGAGGCAGACACAUCUCAAGUCUCCUUCGCUUCUGGUCCUCCCCCCAUAUAUGAGUUACAUUGAGUUUCUUUUUUCCACCUCCUCUGCCACAUAAAAAUUGUUUCUUUCCCAUUUCCCUACCCCGCCUUCUUUUCCCCUUUCCUCCCUCCCCCUCUCUAUCGACGUGUCUCUCUUGGGCUAUUUUUAGGGGAGUUCCCUAUAAAGGUCCCGGGAAAGUGAGGGCCAGACACUAAGACGUGGCACUCUGGCCCCUACAGGCAGCGAAAUCUGCAGACAUCCACUCCAGAAUACUCUAAUUAUGACACCCCACCCCCAAUGAUGGGAUUAUGUCUCUUAUUUAAAAAGUGAUUUUUCUAAACUGACAUCUUGGAAGAAAAGUGAAGAUGAGAUUAGAGUGAAGAUCAUCACAAGAGAGCAAGCUCCAACCUUGGAUCAUGAUUGACAUGAAAUAAAAAUUUUAAUAUCUGUGAUAUUUAAAAAGAAGGAAGGAGAUUAGGUUAAAAUUAUGAAAAACCACAGACUAAAGACUGUGGCCUUUUGCCAUUUAAUUCUUAAUUGGAUUUUCCAGUGUACAAGCCGGCAGACACAUAUCAUGCUAUGGCAAUCCUUGGGUGUUCAAUCAUUAUCCCUUUCAUUUUUUUUUAUGCUCUUUACUAAGAUCAACCUUACUUUUUGUUCAUUUAUUUGUUUUAAUGUAAUUUUGUAUUUGGGCAAUAUAAUCAGCUGUUUUAUACUAGAGUUAAUUCAUUCAACAAAUAUUAUUAACACUUGCUCUAUGAAAGUAAUGAUACUAGAGUUUUUUAUUUAAAUAUGAUCGUGUCCUUAGGAGGCUAGAUAUUCUAGAUAUUAGCAAGUCAUAGAGAUAUUUUCCCAUGGAUUUAGUUUAUUUUUUAAAAUAGCAGUCUUCAUUUUUCUUAAAAAUAAAAGUGAAAUACUCAAAAUAAUAUUUUAUGUAAAUAUUGUUGACUCUGGUAUUUUAUGGAAAAACUAAGUAAUAGCUGAUAGUAUUGUAUAAUUUACUGAUAUUGAAGGAAGAUAAUAUACCAAAGAUGGUAUGCAGAAGAAAUAUGACAAGGCAAAAGCAAAUCAUGACAGUGAAAACCAUUAUGUGAAAAUGAAGUGUAAAAUUAAAAUUUUCAUUUUCAAAAAAUU